AUAAUGCAGCAAUUUAAGAGAUGGGUAAUGGAAAGACUGAGGAUCAUAUCAUGGAAUUAAAACCUUAUCUCACCAGAAGGAAGUAACCCAGUGAGCUACAAAUGUGUGUGUGUGUGUGUGCGCGCACGCGCGCGUGCGUGCACAUGCAAUAGUAGAAGAAUAUUAUUUUGAGAUGUGGAGAUUAACAAGCAGAGGAACUAAAAACAGAAGCCAUUGAAGCAGCGGUGUGGUCCAAGGAGCAGGACUGGGAGAUGGAUCCGGUCGGGAUGGCUAAUUCGCUUUUAUUACACACUCUUCUUUACUACUUGAUUUUUCAAAAAACCAUGUGCGACAUUUUUGUUUUUUAAAGGACGAUCUCCAAAACUCUGAAUGGUGCUCUCUAGUUGAGAAAGACCUCCUCUGAGCUGUGGUGCAUCUCUGCCUAGUCACAAUCAGUCCUUCUUCAGGAACCAUACCAGUGAGGCCACAGGUGAUGAGCAGUGGAGCAAGAGUUAGAACUGAACAGCUUAUCAUGGGCCGGUAUGAAGGAGUGAGAGGUUGAACGAGGGGAAUCAGGGACAUGCACACUGACCACAGGUGAUGAGCAGUGGAACAAGAGUUAGAACUGAACAGCUUCUCAUGGGCCGGUGUUGAAGGAGUGAGAUGAAAAAACUGAUGAGAACUUGAGAGAUUAACAGACCAGAAAGAGAUCAGGACCCAAGUAAAGAAGAAUUCCUACCACCAGAACAAUGUGCCAUGGUAACACUCUGCCCAUGGGAAAUCCAUCUGCAUGUUUUCAAUAUAUUGCACCUUCUGCUCCAAAGAGCACUGAAGAGCCUUUGUUAUCAACCUCAGAAGCAAGAGAAAUAUAACGACAGUAGCUGGAAACAAAUUAACUUGAUGACCAAGAAGUCUGAAGGAAGAGUAGGCCUUGGUGGCACUAAGGACAUCACUGGGACAUGGUCCUGCUCCCUGCAUGGCUCAGGUCUGCUUUCUUAGCGGGCCCCACUAUUUGGCAGACUUCCUCUCAUGGUCCUAAGAUGGCUGCCUAUGCUCCAGAAUGAAAGCCUAUUUGCUCAGGAAUCCUAAUAGAAGGAGAUUCUCCUCCCAGCAGAUCCAGAAAAGACCUACAACCAAGUAUUACCAACUGUGGUAGGCAGAAUAAUGCCCCUAAAGAUAUCCACAUUCUAAUUUCCAGAACCUGUGACUAUGACCACAUUAUAUGACAAAAGGGAUUUGCAGAUUUGAUGAAGGACCUUGAGAUAAAAGAAAUGCCCUGGAUCAUCCAGGUGAGUCCAAUGUCACCAAGGAGCCUUAAAAGUAGAAACUAACGGCCCAGAGGGUGAGAUGUGACUACAGAAGUAGUCAGAUUGAUAAAAUGUGAGGAGGACUGAGCCCGCUGCUGCUGGCACUGAAGAUAGAGCAAGAGGCCAUGUGGACACUGGUCAGGCUCCAGAAGCCUGGAGAGCAAGGACUAGUUCCUCCUAGAGGCUCCAGAGAGGAACUCUGCCUUACUAACACCUUGACAUUAACUCUGUGAAAUGUCUGAUCUAGCCUCCAGAACUGUGAGAUAAUGAAUCAUGAGAUAAUAAAUCUAUGUUAAUUUAGAAGACACUAAGCUUACGGUAAACUGUUACAUAUUGCUAACAAUAUAGCUGUACCACAUACACGUGCAUAUAUAUACUGCUGUAACACUUUACCACAAACUCAGCAUCACACACACAAACAUACUCACCCUGACUGAUCUAAUCUGGUUCACUCACUUUGCCUGAAACGAUGGUUCAUAAAAUCCAA